rnacentral:rRNA from 1 species
GAUGAACGCUGGCGGCGUGCCUAAUACAUGCAAGUCGAGCGGACCAAAGAGAGCUUGCUCUCUGAGGUUAGCGGCGGACGGGUGAGUAACACGUGGGUAACCUGCCUGUAAGACGGGGAUAACUUCGGGAAACCGAAGCUAAUACCGGAUGAUAAAGAGAAACGCCUGUUUCUUUUUUGAAAGUCGGCCUUGUGCUGACGCUUACAGAUGGGCCCGCGGCGCAUUAGCUAGUUGGUGAGGUAACGGCUCACCAAGGCGACGAUGCGUAGCCGACCUGAGAGGGUGAUCGGCCACACGGGGACUGAGACCCGGCCCAGACUCCUACGGGAGGCGGCAGUAGGGAAUCUUCGGCAAUGGACGAAAGUCUGACCGAGCAACGCCGCGUGAGCGAUGAAGGCCUUCGGGUCGUAAAGCUCUGUUGUCAGAGAAGAACAAGUACCGGAGUAACUGCCGGUACCUUGACGGUACCUGACCAGAAAGCCACGGCUAACUACGUGCCAGCCGCCGCCGUAA